GUGUCAGCCGCCGCGGUAAUACGGAGGGUGCUAGCGUUGUUCGGAAUUACUGGGCGUAAAGAGCUUGUAGGCGGCUUGCUCAGUCCGAUGUGAAAGCCCCCGGCUCAACCGGGGAAGUGCAUUGGAUACUGGCGAGCUUGAGUAUGGGAGAGGAGAGCGGAAUUCCCGGUGUAGAGGUGAAAUUCGUAGAUAUCGGGAGGAACACCAGUGGCGAAGGCGGCUCUCUGGACCAAUACUGACGCUGAGAAGCGAAAGCGUGGGGAGCAAACAGGAUUAGAAACCCUCGUAGUCC
rnacentral:rRNA from 1 species